rnacentral:snoRNA from 1 species
GACUUCCUAGGAUCACGUCUGGAGAGUGGCUCAUAUUCUGUCAGCUUCGGAAACAGGAGGGAGAGCAAAGACAGCAGAGGUACCCAUUCUAUUCCCAGCUGGCACCAUAGCUGGUGAUUGGAAGACGCUCUGCAAGUGUC